GGAGGUAGUGACAAUAAAUCACAAUGCGGGACUGUUAGUCUUGCAAUUGGAUUGAGAACAACGUACAACUCUUAUCGAUAAGCCAUUGGAGGGCAAGUCUGGUGCCAGCAGCCGCGGUAAUUCCAGCUCCAAUAGCGUAUAUUAACGUUGUUGCAGUUAAAAAGCUCGUAGUUGAAGUGAGGGAGUGUGUGGGUAUGAGAGCUAGUCUCAAGUACUCACAACCUCCCCCUUCCAAUCGGUGUAGUGGGGUAUUCACUUAUUCCACUACUCCUUUGGUCGUUUACUGUGAGAAAAUUAGAGUGUUCAAAGCGGGCGUUUGUUUGAAUAGAUUAGCAUGGAAUAAUGAUUGAAGGCUUUCGUGUUCGAUUUGAUUGGUUUGUUCAUGGAAGCAAGGUUAAAAGGAACAGUUGGGGGUAUUCAUAUUCACUAGUUAGAGGUGAAAUUCUCGGAUUUAUGGAAGAUGAACAAGUGCGAAAGCA
rnacentral:rRNA from 1 species